GCGCGAUACAGGGUGACAGCCCCGUACACAAAAAUGCACAUACUGUGAGCUCGAUGAGUAGGGCGGGACACGUGGUAUCCUGUCUGAAUAUGGGGGGACCAUCCUCCAAGGCUAAAUACUCCUGACUGACCGAUAGUGAACCAGUACCGUGAGGGAAAGGCGAAAAGAACCCCGGCGAGGGGAGUGAAAAAGAACCUGAAACCGUGUACGUACAAGCAGUGGGAGCCUCUUAAUGGGGUGACUGCGUACCUUUUGUAUAAUGGGUCAGCGACUUAUAUUCUGUAGCAAGGUUAACCGAAUAGGGGAGCCGAAGGGAAACCGAGUCUUAACUGGGCGUUAAGUUGCAGGGUAUAGACCCGAAACCCGGUGAUCUAGCCAUGGGCAGGUUGAAGGUUGGGUAACACUAACUGGAGGACCGAACCGACUAAUGUUGAAAAAUUAGCGGAUGACUUGUGGCUGGGGGUGAAAGGCCAAUCAAACCGGGAGAUAGCUGGUUCUCCCCGAAAGCUAUUUAGGUAGCGCCUCGUGAAUUCAUCUCCGGGGGUAGAGCACUGUUUCGGCAAGGGGGUCAUCCCGACUUACCAACCCGAUGCAAACUGCGAAUACCGGAGAAUGUUAUCACGGGAGACACACGGCGGGUGCUAACGUCCGUCGUGAAGAGGGAAACAACCCAGACCGCCAGCUAAGGUCCCAAAGUCAUGGUUAAGUGGGAAACGAUGUGGGAAGGCCCAGACAGCCAGGAUGUUGGCUUAGAAGCAGCCAUCAUUUAAAGAAAGCGUAAUAGCUCACUGGUCGAGUCGGCCUGCGCGGAAGAUGUAACGGGGCUAAACCAUGCACCGAAGCUGCGGCAGCGACACUAUGUGUUGUUGGGUAGGGGAGCGUUCUGUAAGCCUGUGAAGGUGUACUGUGAGGUAUGCUGGAGGUAUCAGAAGUGCGAAUGCUGACAUAAGUAACGAUAAAGCGGGUGAAAAGCCCGCUCGCCGGAAGACCAAGGGUUCCUGUCCAACGUUAAUCGGGGCAGGGUGAGUCGACCCCUAAGGCGAGGCCGAAAGGCGUAGUCGAUGGGAAACAGGUUAAUAUUCCUGUACUUGGUGUUACUGCGAAGGGGGGACGGAGAAGGCUAUGUUGGCCGGGCGACGGUUGUCCCGGUUUAAGCGUGUAGGCUGGUUUUCCAGGCAAAUCCGGAAAAUCAAGGCUGAGGCGUGAUGACGAGGCACUACGGUGCUGAAGCGACAAAUGCCCUGCUUCCAGGAAAAGCCUCUAAGCAUCAGGUAACAUCAAAUCGUACCCCAAACCGACACAGGUGGUCAGGUAGAGAAUACCAAGGCGCUUGAGAGAACUCGGGUGAAGGAACUAGGCAAAAUGGUGCCGUAACUUCGGGAGAAGGCACGCUGAUAUGUAGGUGAAGCGACUUGCUCGUGGAGCUGAAAUCAGUCGAAGAUACCAGCUGGCUGCAACUGUUUAUUAAAAACACAGCACUGUGCAAACACGAAAGUGGACGUAUACGGUGUGACGCCUGCCCGGUGCCGGAAGGUUAAUUGAUGGGGUUAGCGGUAACGCGAAGCUCUUGAUCGAAGCCCCGGUAAACGGCGGCCGUAACUAUAACGGUCCUAAGGUAGCGAAAUUCCUUGUCGGGUAAGUUCCGACCUGCACGAAUGGCGUAAUGAUGGCCAGGCUGUCUCCACCCGAGACUCAGUGAAAUUGAACUCGCUGUGAAGAUGCAGUGUACCCGCGGCAAGACGGAAAGACCCCGUGAACCUUUACUAUAGCUUGACACUGAACAUUGAGCCUUGAUGUGUAGGAUAGGUGGGAGGCUUUGAAGUGUGGACGCCAGUCUGCAUGGAGCCGACCUUGAAAUACCACCCUUUAAUGUUUGAUGUUCUAACGUGGGCCCCUUACCGGGGUUGCGGACAGUGUCUGGUGGGUAGUUUGACUGGGGCGGUCUCCUCCUAAAGAGUAACGGAGGAGCACGAAGGUUGGCUAAUCCUGGUCGGACAUCAGGAGGUUAGUGCAAUGGCAUAAGCCAGCUUGACUGCGAGCGUGACGGCGCGAGCAGGUGCGAAAGCAGGUCAUAGUGAUCCGGUGGUUCUGAAUGGAAGGGCCAUCGCUCAACGGAUAAAAGGUACUCCGGGGAUAACAGGCUGAUACCGCCCAAGAGUUCAUAUCGACGGCGGUGUUUGGCACCUCGAUGUCGGCUCAUCACAUCCUGGGGCUGAAGUAGGUCCCAAGGGUAUGGCUGUUCGCCAUUUAAAGUGGUACGCGAGCUGGGUUUAGAACGUCGUGAGACAGUUCGGUCCCUAUCUGCCGUGGGCGCUGGAGAACUGAGGGGGGCUGCUCCUAGUACGAGAGGACCGGAGUGGACGCAUCACUGGUGUUCGGGUUGUCAUGCCAAUGGCACUGCCCGGUAGCUAAAUGCGGAAGAGAUAAGUGCUGAAAGCAUCUAAGCACGAAACUUGCCCCGAGAUGAGUUCUCCCUGACUCCUUGAGAGUCCUGAAGGAACGUUGAAGACGACGACGUUGAUAGGCCGGGUGUGUAAGCGCAGCGAUGCGUUGAGCUAACCGGUACUAAUGAACCGUGAGGCUUAACCUUACAACGCCGAAG
rnacentral:rRNA from 1 species